rnacentral:tRNA from 1 species
CGGGGUGUAGCUCAGCUUGGUAGAGCGCUUCGUUCGGGGCGAAGAGGUCGCAGGUUCGAAUCCUGUCACCCCGA